rnacentral:rRNA from 1 species
UACAGAGGUCUCAAGCGUUGUUCGGAAUCACUGGGCGUAAAGGGUGCGUAGGCCGCACGGUAAGUCAGAGGUGAAAUCCCGGAGCUCAACUCCGGAAUGGCCUCCGAUACUGCCGUGCUCGAGGACUGGAGAGGAGUCUGGAAUUCACAGUGGAGCAGUGAAAUGCGUAGAUAUCGAGAAGAACGCUCGCAGCGAAGGCGAGACUCUGGGCAAAUUCUGACGCUGAUGCACGAAGGCUAGGGGAGCAAACGGG